GACGAACGCUGGCGGCGUGCUUAACACAUGCAAGUCGUACGGUAAGGCCCUAUCGGGGGUACACGAGUGGCGAACGGGUGAGUAACACGUGAGUAACCUGCCCACAACUUUGGGAUAACGCUAGGAAACUGGUGCUAAUACUGGAUAUGUGCUCCUGCUGCAUGGUGGGGGUUGGAAAGCUCCGGCGGUUGUGGAUGGACUCGCGGCCUAUCAGCUUGUUGGUGGGGUAGUGGCCUACCAAGGCGGCGACGGGUAGCCGGCCUGAGAGGGUGACCGGCCACAUUGGGACUGAGAUACGGCCCAGACUCCUACGGGAGGCAGCAGUGGGGAAUAUUGCACAAUGGGCGCAAGCCUGAUGCAGCAACGCCGCGUGCGGGAUGACGGCCUUCGGGUUGUAAACCGCUUUCAGCAGGGACGAAGCUUUUUGUGACGGUACCUGCAGAAGAAGCACCGGCUAACUACGUGC
rnacentral:rRNA from 1 species